CUUGCAAAGUUCUCAGGUUGUAGUCUUGCCUUUUUGUCUGGAUAAUAUAAUCAUCUACGAGAAUUUGAACUCCUUCACAAGCUUCGCGUAUCAAGUGACGCUCACUAGAAGAGUUCCUGCGCGGAGGAGCCAUUGGAUGGCAUACUGAGAUAUCUCCACCUGCCAUAUGGUGUGGCAAAUGUCAUGAGCUUGUUUAUGUCAUUAUAUGACAACAUCUACAACAUGGGUGUCUAGAGGGCAUUGUCUUUCUUUAGAAUUUGGCAAAAGAAGCAUCUAACCAACAUUUUGGUUGAUAGACCCAGAGGAACUACUUAAAGCCCACGCCACAACUACUGAAGCCUACGUGCCUAGAGCCCAUGCUCCACAACAAGAGAAGCCACCACAAUGAGAAGCCCACGCACCGUAACGAAGAGUAGCCCCCACUCUUCGCAGCUAGAGAGAGCCCGCGUGCAGCAACG